AACAAAGUGGCCGAGAUAGGUGGUAAAUUGUAAAUUUAUUUACGGGGUCAACCCCCUUUGUU
rnacentral:tRNA from 1 species